rnacentral:rRNA from 1 species
UAAAGCAAAUGGCGGAUGCCUUGGUAGUAAGAGCCGAAGAAGGACGCACAUGACUGCGAUAAGCGUCGGGGAGUUGUCACGAAGCGGUGAUCCGGCGGUGUCCGAAUGGGGAAACCCACCACGCUCAGCGUGGGGCUGCGUUCUGAAUUCAUAGGAGCGUAUGCGGGAACCCGGGGAACUGAAACAUCUAAGUACCCGGAGGAAAAUAAAUACAAUUGAGAUUCCGUUAGUAAGCGGUGAGCGAAAGCGGAACAGCCUAAACUUGGGCCGUAAGGCCUAGGGGUUGCAAGGCGCACAAGGGAGUGUUAGCGGUAGUUGAACACCCUGGAAUGGGUGGCCAGAGAAGGUGAAAGCCCCGUAAAUUAAACCAAUGACACCUCGAGCGAAUACCUUAAGUACCACGAAAGACGAAGCUUUUGUGGGAAUCCGGGGGGACCACCCUCCAAGGCUAAAUACUCUUAUUGACCGAUAGUGAACAAGUACCGUGAGGGAAAGGUGAAAAGCAGGGUUAGUGACCCGAUGAAAUAGAACCUGAAACCGUUUGCUAACAAACAGUCAGAGCUUGUGCGGAGCACAAAGGAUAAGAAAUUUAGGAUAAGAGGAACCGAGGAUACGAGUGAUGAGUCAAAAAAAGACUAGUCACUCUUAUCUUCUUAAUCUUCGUUCCUACUCUUCGUAUCUUGCGCGCUUCGCGCGAGUAAUGGCGUGCCUAUUGAAGAAUGAACCAGCGAGUAGUCUUCAUAUGCGAGUCUAAGUUCGCUAAGACGGACGGAGGCGUAGCGAAAGCGAGUCCAAAUAGGGCGUAAAUAAGCAUAUGGCGGCUGACCCGAAACCAGGUGAGCUAAUCAUGAGCAGGGUGAACCUCGAUGAAAAUCGAGGGGAGGCCCGCACCCGUCGUCGCUGCAAGGACGUGGGAUGACUUGUGAUUAGAGGUAAUAUGCCAAUCGAACCUGGAGAUAACUGGUUCUCCCCGAAAGAUAUAUGGGUAUCGCGUCCAUCAAUAACCAAAUGGGGGUAGAGCUACUGGAUGGGUGUUGCUUCGCAAGGAGUGGCAUCCAACCAAACUCCGAAUACCGUUUGGAAUCGGAUGGGCAGUCAGUCCUACACGGCUAAGCGCGUACGGACUAAAGGGAAACAACCCAGACUCUCGUCUAAGGUCUCUAAGUAUCGUUUAAGUGUUGAAGGUAGUGGUAUUCCUCAGACAGCCAGGAGGUUGGCUCAGAAGCAGCCAUCCUUUAAAGAAAGCGUAACAGCUCACUGGUCGACUGGGAUUCUGCGCCGAAAAUUUAUCGAGGCUCAAAUCGAUCACCGAAGACAGAGGUGCUCAUGCUUUGCAUGAGCGCGGUAGGGGAGCGUUGAGAGGGCGGUGAAGUUCUACCGUGAGGUGGGGUGGAGCGCUCUCAAGUGAGAAUGCUGGUAUGAGUAACCAACAGCAAUGUGAGAAUCAUUGCCACCGAAUACCCAAGGUUUCCCACGCACCGUUUUUCGGCGUGGGGUAAGUCGGCACCUAAGGUGAGGCCACAAAGGGCGUAGCCGAUGGACGACCGGUUUAUAUUCCGGUACAGGAGUGAAAUCGUUACGAGUUGGGGAUGGACAAAGAUGGAGGGCUCAGAGUUUGCCUGACCGCAGACUUCUAAACUAUUAAGCAGUUUGGGUAGGAAAACCCUUCCAAACGUUUAACUGAGUAGCGACGGGAAGCCGGGCUGCAAAGCUUGGCAAGUGAAGACCUUUCAACUUUCAAGAAAAUAUCCGCAACCAGAGUUCAUUUCUGCCGUACCGCAAUCCGAAACAGGUGGGUUGGUCGAGUAGACCAAGGUGGUCGGGAGAAGGCGGCUCAAGGAACUCGGCAAAAAAGCUGGGCGUAAGUUCGCAAGAUGCCCUGCCAUGUUCAGUUACAUGAACGUGGCCUCAGCAAAAGAUUAUUCAGCGACUGUUUAACUAAAACACCGGCCUCUGCAAAACCGAAAGGUACAGUAUAGGGGCUGACGCCUGCCCACUGUCAGAAGGUUAAGGGGAUGCCUGACUCCGCAAGGAGAGGGGUUGAACCGAAGCCCUGAUGAAGGGCGGCUUUAACUAUAAGAGUCCUAUGGUGGAGUUCCGACCCGCACGAAAGGCGUAACGACUGAAUAACUGUCUCGAGCCGUCCCCCGGUGAAAUUGAAAUGGCUGUGAAGAUGCGGCCUAGAUGUACUAGGACAAAAAGACCCCGUGGAGCUUUACUGCAACUCGGCACUGUAUCGUUUAUUUUUCUUGUUUAGCGUAGGAGGGAGCCGAAAGGCGAGCAUGAAACACCUCCCGGAAGAGUAGGCGAGACUUACCUACAGACCCUGAAUACGGGUUUGGGGACCGUGCUUGGUGGGCAGCUUUACUGGGAUGGUAUCCUGCAAAAGAGUAACGCAGGAGUUCAAGGGUUGGCUCAGUACAGGCUGAUCGCAUCCACGAGUCCAUAUCUACGAUGCGGUUUGGCACCUCGAUGUCGGCUAUGCGUAUAGAUUGGUUGCGUCCUAUCCUGGGGGCGGAGAAGCUCCCAAGGGUCCGGCUGUUCGCCGGUUAAAAGGGCACGCGAGCUGGGUCAGAACGGCGUAAGCCAGUUCGGCCUCUAUCCAGUACAUCCGUUCGAUUCUUGAGGGGAGCUGAUGGCAGUACGAGAGGACCCCGUUGGAGCGACCCCUGGUGUGCCGGUUGUCCUGUCAAGGGCAGCGCCGGGUAGCUAUGUCGCUAAGGGAUAAUCGCUGAAAGCAUCUAAGCGAGAAGCCCACCCCAAGAUUAGGAAUCGUUUCCGUCGCAAGGCGGAUGAAGACCCGUUGUAGACUACGACGUUCCCGCAAGGGAUCCCAAGCGCAAGCGAGGGAAAUCGGCUGGCGGUGUAAGGCCCGUAAGGGUUUUAGCCUACCAGUGCGAAUCGGUCGA